CAGCAGAUUCAUCAGUGCAGAGGUAUCAGCUGAUAACACAACACAUAUACCACAAAGAGAAACAAAGGCAACAGGGAUGUGUUCUCCAAAAUACUGAAGGAUUAGGACAGAAGUAGCAGCAGAAGCCAAGAGAACCAAAGAAAAGAUUGAUUCCUGGCAUCUGCUGAAUGGAUACAUGCCCCAAACUUGUUGACUUAGAUCUAAGAAGAAUUUUAUGGCGGGAACAAAUAUGUUUGAAGGUGUGCAGGUCCAAAACCGAAUUAGAAGAUGAAGGAGAAAAUUUACGGAACAAGAUCCCAGAAGAGAACAUGGCUGAGGGAUCAGAUCUCUCCUGUGUUACAUGGAUGACAUUGAAUAGGUUGAGGGUGGGAGUGCCUAAGGGUAAGACCAAUAUGCUCAAGUGGGGGUUGCUGGCAGAUAAUACAUAAUGCAAAUGCAGAGUCCACCCCAUUUGUUGGUCAGUCAAACAUGAAAGAAAGAAAAUCUAAGUCCUUCUCAAUAAUAUUGAAUAACAAAGAACUCUGGACACAGUUCUGGAGAUGUCCAUUGACACAUCCUUCUAAGCCUCGGAAGAACCAGUAACUCCAUCCCAGCAUCCAAAGAACAUAUGGACUCCAAUUUGACCCUGUUUAAAUGAGCCCUUAAAACUGGCUCUUCUCUGGGCCUUAGAUUAGAAUGGUUGGGAAAUGCUUUGGUGGUGUUGCUGUUAUUUUUCUAAAUGUUUGUUUUUAAGGACAGGUUUUGGAAGGGAAGGGAACCCCUCUCCUUCUGUCACAGAGAUUAAGAUGUUUUACAACCUUUAGGACUGCCUUUUACUCCUCUGUAGGGCUAUGGUAGAGUUAGGUGAAAUUGGAACUAAAAAUGGAUCCAACCAUGAUACAUGCACUAACAGAAUUUUCCAUACAGAGACCUGUUCACAUUCUACCAUCCAUAUAGUUCUCUCUUUAAUCUUUUGGGAAUUUACCUAGUCUCCUUUAAAAAACCUUCCAAAUUAAUAGCCAUCACCAUGUCUGAUGGUACUGAUUCCUACAAUAUAAUUUCUUUCAUCAGAAUCCUGGUUCAGUGAAAGAAAUCUCUUCCCUUUUGUAGACAUUUGCACUGAACAUGCACAUAUCUGCAAGAAAACUGAUGACAUUAGAACCUCAAUAUCAGUGGCUGAGGAUGGUGGAUAUUUAAAGAGGAUUUAUAAAGAGAAAACAGAUUCCUGGGGAUCAGUUCCUAGAUUUUUCAUUUGGGGGGGGGGUUAUUUUAUGGUUCAUGAUUUUAUAAUUAUUGAUUGUGUUGCUGUGAGAUAUCCAGAGUUGUAUUUAAGAUGGGUGGCCAUACAAAUCUUUUAAAUAAAUCGUUAAAUAACAAUA